CAGUCGCCGCGGUAACACGGAGGGGGCUAGCGUUGUUCGGAUUUACUGGGCGUAAAGGGUGCGUAGGCGGAUUGUUAAGUCAGAUGUGAAAUCCCGGGGCUCAACCCCGGAACUGCAUCCGAUACUGCCAUGCUAGAGGAUUGGAGAGGUAGCUGGAAUUCUUGGUGUAGCAGUGAAAUGCGUGGAGAUCAAGAGGAACACUCGUGGCGAAAGCGAGCUACUGGACAAUAACUGACGCUGAGGCUCGAAGGCCAGGGUAGCGAAAGGGAUUAGAUACCCGGGUAGUCCCUGUCUCUUAUAC
rnacentral:rRNA from 1 species